rnacentral:rRNA from 1 species
AACGUAGGAGACAAACGUUAUCCGGAGUUACUGGGCGUAAAGGGCGUGUAGGUGGUUUCGUAAGUCUGGCGUGAAAUUUCUCGGCUUAACCGAGGCAGGUCGUCGGAUACUGCGGAACUUGAGGACGGUAGAGGCGUGUGGAAUUCCGGGUGUAGUGGUGAAAUGCGUAGAGAUCCGGAGGAACACCAGUGGCGAAGGCGGGUCUCUGGGCCGAUACUGACGCUGAGGAGCGAAAGCGUGGGGAGCGAACAGG